GCAAACAAGCAGAGCCGAUGAUAAUCAGGUGCGUGUAAUCUACUAACAACACAAGCACAAAAUGGCUUAAAGUUUUUUUAAA